UACGGGGGGGGCAAGCGUUGUUCGGAAUUACUGGGCGUAAAGGGCUCGUAGGUGGCCAACUAAGUCAGACGUGAAAUCCCUCGGCUUAACCGGGGAACUGCGUCUGAUACUGGAUGGCUUGAGUUUGGGAGAGGGAUGCGGAAUUCCCAGUGUAGCGGUGAAAUGCGUAGAUAUUGGGAGGAACACCAGUGGCGAAGGCGGCUCACUGGACCGGUUCUGACGCUGAGGCGCGGAAAGCGUGGGGAGCAAACAGG
rnacentral:rRNA from 1 species